rnacentral:rRNA from 1 species
GAGCGGACAGAUGGGAGCUUGCUCCCUGAUGUCAGCGGCGGACGGGUGAGUAACACGUGGGUAACCUGCCUGUAAGACUGGGAUAACUCCGGGAAACCGGGGCUAAUACCGGAUGCUUGAUUGAACCGCAUGGUUCAAUUAUAAAAGGUGGCUUUUAGCUACCACUUACAGAUGGACCCGCGGCGCAUUAGCUAGUUGGUGAGGUAACGGCUCACCAAGGCAACGAUGCGUAGCCGACCUGAGAGGGUGAUCGGCCACACUGGGACUGAGACACGGCCCAGACUCCUACGGGAGGCAGCAGUAGGGAAUCUUCCGCAAUGGACGAAAGUCUGACGGAGCAACGCCGCGUGAGUGAUGAAGGUUUUCGGAUCGUAAAACUCUGUUGUUAGGGAAGAACAAGUACCGUUCGAAUAGGGCGGUACCUUGACGGUACCUAACCAGAAAGCCACGGCUAACUACGUGCCAGCAGCCGCGGUAAUACGUAGGUGGCAAGCGUUGUCCGGAAUUAUUGGGCGUAAAGCGCGCGCAGGCGGUUUCUUAAGUCUGAUGUGAAAGCCCCCGGCUCAACCG